AUUGAACGCUGGCGGCAGGCCUAACACAUGCAAGUCGAACGGUAACAGGAAGCAGCUUGCUGCUUUGCUGACGAGUGGCGGACGGGUGAGUAAUGUCUGGGAAACUGCCUGAUGGAGGGGGAUAACUACUGGAAACGGUAGCUAAUACCGCAUAACGUCGCAAGACCAAAGAGGGGGACCUUAGGGCCUCUUGCCAUCGGAUGUGCCCAGAUGGGUUUAGCUAGUAGGUGGGGUAACGGCUCACCUAGGCGACGAUCCCUAGCUGGUCUGAGAGGAUGACCAGCCACACUGGAACUGAGACACGGUCCAGACUCCUACGGGAGGCAGCAGUGGGGAAUAUUGCACAAUGGGCGCAAGCCUGAUGCAGCCAUGCCGCGUGUAUGAAGAAGGCCUUCGGGUUGUAAAGUACUUUCAGCGGGGAGGAAGGGAGUAAAGUUAAUACCUUUGCUCAUUGACGUUACCCGCAGAAGAAGCACCGACUAACUCCGUG
rnacentral:rRNA from 1 species